AGAGGUAGUGAAUGGAGGAAUGGCAGAGGAAUGGCAGGGCGGAUAUAUGGCCAAUUUCAGCACAAUUACACUUAGGAUGACGUUGGGAAACAAAGGCGUGUUAAUGAUUUUCGGAGGCCACAGUCGAGCUGAAGAGCACUUCAAACUCAAGAGCAGGAAACACGCUGGGCUCCACGGGGUUCCCACAGGCAUCGCCUCCAUCCCAUUAUAGCCCCUUGCUCUCACUACGACAGAGGUUAAUGAUUCUACACCUGGCCUUGGAUGAGCGAGUGAUAUUUUACCCCUUGCAGGAAGAGGGUGAUAUAUGGAGACUGCAGUUGUUUUCGGGGUGUAUAAAUUAAAGGAAUAGCUUGUAUUGGCGGGCAGGAUGAUGAAAUAACAGGCACUUUAGGUAAUUCCUCUGAUAAAGCAGCCUGACCCCUGAGCAGGUCUAAGAAUGAUAGAAUCAAAUGUUCUGGUAGAGGUCAGCCGUUGGAGCAUCAGUCUAGUCAAGCCAUUACAACAGAAUACAAAGACCCUGCACCUGUCAAGAGAACAGGCCAGGUGGGUGAGAGAAAAAAAAGAGUCUAAGGUAUCUUUCUCUUUUCAAACCAAAUUAGAUUCAUUUUACCUUUGCAAAGAGUCAGGGUAGGGUCGACCUGUGGGUUUGUUGGGCUCAAAGGAUGUGUGGAGCAACUUCUGUGUGGGAAACUGCAUAUCAGUACACAUAUAUUAUCUUUAGAUAAGUUUAAAAAAUCAUAUUCACUAAAUAUGAAAUUCAAUUAAUUGAUUUGUAUUUCUGGAUAAGUUCACUGAUUGCAACUGUGUGCUA